AUUGAACGCUGGCGGCAGGCCUAACACAUGCAAGUCGAGCGAGCGGCGGACGGGUGAGUAAUGCCUGGGAAACUGCAUGAUGGAGGGGGAUAACUACUGGAAACGGUAGCUAAUAACGCAUACCAUCAGCAGUGCCCAGAUGGGAUUAGCUAGUAGGGGGGGUAACGGCUCACCUAGGCGACGAUCCCUAGCUGGUCUGAGAGGAUGACCAGACACACUGGAACUGAGACACGGUCCAGACUCCUACGGGAGGCAGCAGUGGGGAAUAUUGCACAAUGGGCGCAAGCCGUAUGCAGCCAUGCCGCUUGUGUGAAGAAGGCCUUCGGGUUGUAAAGCACUUUCAGCGGGGAGGCGUUACCCGCAGAAGAAGCACCGGCUAACUCCGUGCCAGCAGCCGCGGUAAUAC
rnacentral:rRNA from 1 species